CUAGUAUGGUGGUACAUACAUACGUUAUUGGACUAUAUAGACUAAAAAUAGAUUAUUUUUUAUAUUAAUUGCCUGAAAAUGAAGAUAAUACCGAUCAGGGCUGGGUAAGACUGAGACGUGAGAGCCGGGAUGGACGCUCCCGUACGAUCGGUCACUGACUGUGUUAUGUCCAGAACGCGUACACUACAAGAGAGAGACACGUACAAACAGAAGGUAUAACAGAAAAUUUGUAAAGAUAACUGGUGUAAUUCGGUUAUGUUCGUCGGUGUUAAGACUGAUUAAUAGAAAGAAUAUGCAUUUAAUUCAGAGGCAUGUUUCUUUCUUUCAAGAAAUAGAGUAAAAAUAUUUAUUGUAUUUGAGGUCGUGGGUAAAUUAUCAGUAGAAAUUAUUUAUAAUACUGCAUGGCUAUGCUCCCUCAGUCCUAGUGGGACACCACGGUUCCCACGUCACACAGCAGCCGUGGCCGUGGGUGAGCACCUGUGGGGGCACCGGCUUCUCGUGGGGGGGCACGUGCCCACCCAUGCCCCCCCCCCCCCGUAGCUACGCCACUGGUGCUGAUAAAGUAUUGGCUAGCCCUGACUUUCGAAAUAAAAAAAAAAAAAAAAAAAUCAACUUCUGAGGAGUUACCGGUUGACGACACUGAUCCCAUGGAUAGGUUGGAUGGGCUCACCUCCACUGCUCAACAUUUUCCCAGCACCUGCUUUGUUCAGCAGGAGGAUGUUUUCCAGAAUGCUCUGGAUGAUUUAGCUGGUUCUUUUCUAAGCGAAGAGGAAAAGGGAGAUCCAUUGUCGGGUAAAUUAGUUAACAUUUUAAAUCAAAGUUUGCGGCGCCGGCCUAAUGAUAAUGAUGUGAUGGUCACAGCGGCAAAGGUUAAACUACCUAACAAUGUGGAAAAUUUCAAAGUACCUGUGACGAACAGUGACAUUUCAGAAGCCAUGACUACCAGCGGUAAGUUUCUCGAUGCUAGACUGGCAAGAACGAAUGGCAUCCUUUCUAAGCUAUUGUGCCGAUAGCCAAGCUUUUGAGUGAUGUUGAAGAAAAGAAAAGCCGUCCUACGGAGUACUAUCUGUCAGAUUUGAAUUCCAGUUUAAGACUUUUGACAGCUGCUUUCAAUUAUCUGAAUGAGAUACGGAAGGAAGUUGCCCGGAUUCAUUUAAAUGACUCCGCUUUGGCACAAUUGUGCAGGUGGGAGUGUGAAGUGGGUAUGGCUAAAUUGUUUCUGUUCGAUGUUUCCAAGAAGUGUGAUGAAGUUCAUAAAACUAAGAAACUGGAAAAGCCUCAUUACAAACACAAGUUUUCCCGAGGUGAUCAGAAGAGAUUUCAGCCUUACUAUAAUAAAAGGCAGAUAUACAGGCAAGAUAAUCCUUCCUCAAGGCACCCUCACCACUCAAAGCCUUUUUUAGGGCAGAGACAGCCACAGGGAAGGGGGUUCCACAGAAAACCUCCCAAAUAAGACUUCCUUAGGUAAGUGCAGGUCUUGUAUUCAAGCCAGUUAACACUCCUGAAUUUUUUUUACGAGUUUUUUUUUUUCUUUUUUUCUGUACAAAUAACUGGUGUCUCUUGACAGGAGAUAUGUUUCGACAUUGUGACUGGCAAUGUAAUUGACCUGGAGCUUUCACCUGUUCAACAUAAAUUACCGAGACCUUUAGUUCUAUCCAAAGCUGAUCAACGAGCCCUGGAUGUAGCUAUGCAGGAAUUUAUUGAUUUUCGCAUAGUAGAAAAGUGUAGCGAUUUGAGAACUGAUCAAGCCUUUUUACUCUAACAUUUUUCCCAUCAUCAAGAAAGAUGGUUUAGCAAGGGUAAUAUUAAAUUUAAAGGAUCUGAAUGACUUUAUUGUAUUUAAUAAUUUUAAAAUGGAUACCAUUAAGGAUGUGCUGCACUUGCUCUACCCAAAUUGCUUUUUUUCUGACAGUGGAUUUUAAGCAUGUACAUUAUUCAGUGCCAGUUAGACCAAAACACAGGCAGUACCUACGGUGUAUUUGGAAUAAUGAUCACUAUCAGUUUACAUUUCUUCCUCAAGACUUAACUUCUCCCAGACUAUUUGCUAAAUUGUUAAAAUCAGCUUUGACACAUUUAAGGAAAUUGGGAAUUUUGGUGUCAUGUUAUACUGACGAUUGUAUUUUUAUUGCUUUAUCUAAGAAGGAAUUGUUAGGCAAUAUAAACUAUGCUUUGCACCUAUUUGAUUCAUUGGGACUAACAAUUCAAUGUCAAAAUCUGUGCUCAUACCUACAGAAGUCAUAGAAUUUCUGGGUGUCAUCUUGGAUUCGGUUAACAUGAUCAUAAUUUUACCAAAAGGUAAAAUUAAUAGAAUUCGAGAUCUUGGCCAAUCGUUACUGAAAAAGAAUGUGACCUCUAUUCAUGAUUUGGCCUCCUUCAUAGGACACGUAGUGUUUGCAGGCAUUGCUGUCCCACACACACCACUGAGAUAUAAAUAUCUAGAAAUUUUUCGAAAUAUGGCCCUUGUUCGGAGCAAAGGUGAUUAUAAGGUAGAGGUAUGUCUAGAUGAGCAUGCUCGAGAUCUAAUUGUUUGGUGGAUAAAUAACAUACACUCUCAAAGGAAAUCGUUAAGGUCGUCACCACCUAAAUCUGAAAUCAAAACAGAUACUUCUACGACAGGAUGGGGAGCCAAGCUUGGUGCUGCAGUUACUGGUGGACAUUGGGUGGGAUAUGAAUGAGUUAGACCAUAUAAACUGUCUUGAAUUGAAAGCUGUAUUAAUGGGUUUGAAGUCAUUAUGCAAAAUUAAAAAAAAAAUAAAUAAAUAAAUCGUUGUGAUAGUACCAAAAUAUCAUUGUUAACAAUUGUUCAACACAUUUUUGAAUGCGUCAAUAUGAGGGAUAUUUCUAUAUCCACUGAACAUAUAAUGGGAUGUGAGAACUUUGAAGCAGAUCGGGAGUCUAGACUCAAGAAUUUCGAUUGAGAAUGGAUGUUGGAUCCUAAUGUUUUUGAGAAAGCAUGCCAACUAUUCUUUUUUUUUUUUUUUCGGACUGAUCUAUUUGCUACCAGAAUAAAUGCUCAGCUGAAUAGAUUUGUGUCCUGGAAACCGGAUCCUGAAGCUUUUCACACAAAUGCCUUUACUCUUUCUUGGACUGAAGGAGUUCAUUAUGCCUUCCCACCUUUCAGCAUCAUAGGAAGGGUGCUGAAAAAGAUUCAGGAGGACAAGGCAACCCUUCUGGUUAUUCUUCCCCUUUGGCCGACACAAACAUGGUUCCGAAGGGCACUGCAGUUAUUGGUGGAGGAGCCGGUACUACACCCUCGACAGUGCAUUUGUCUCUCACAAGAUCUCGCUCUUGCUCACCCACUGUCAAAUAAGCUCAGACUAGCAGCAAUGGUAUUAUUAGGGAAUCUUUUAAGAGUCAGGGAAUUUCGUCGGAAACUGCGGAAUUUUUACUUGGAUCAUGGCGAAAUGGGACAAAGCAACAAUAUGGGCCUCAUAUCAAAAGAUGGUUGUCAUUUUACAUCAGUGGAGGAUUUGAUCUAUUUCAGCCACCUGUGAAUAUACUCCUGGAAUUUUUGUAUUAUGAAUUUAAGAGUGUCAAAGGGAGACAAUAUAGUUCGAUGAAUUCAAUAAGGUCAGCAAUUUCCAAUGUCCCAAUUAAUUAUGGCAAACCCACAGGCCAACAUCUACUGGUAUGCAGAUUUAUAAAAAAAGUUUUCACCUGAUGUCUGCUCUUCCUCGCUAUGACAUCAUUUGGAACCCUCAAGUGGUCUGCCUCAUCCAGAAAAGCUUUUCGAUACCUUCCUCUGUCAACCAUUAUGAGGGCUAUAGGAUGGUCGAAGUAAUCCACGUUCACUGCUUAUUACCAUAAACCUGUCCAGAACACUCGGUUUGCUGAUGCUGUGCUGGCUAAUGGAGAAUAAUCUCAUUAUGAUGUCACUUUAUGGUGGCCUGUGUUUAUGUCUGGAUUCUUAAUAUGUAGAAAUAUCUCCUUUCAUUUUCCUCUGUUGUGUCAUGGGAUGUUCUCAUGGAAUGCUCCUUAGUAUAUAAGUUUAUGAUGUACCAGUUGGGAUUAUGCCUCGCCUUUCAAUGUAAUGGUAUACAAGUUGCAAAUUUCUUUUGUAUAAGGAUUGGGUAUCUUAAUUUGUUUUGGGUCAAUAAAUCCUGUUGGUUUA